rnacentral:rRNA from 1 species
GUAGGGAAUAUUGCGCAAUGGACGAAAGUCUGACGCAGCGACGCCGCGUGAGUGAUGAAGGCCUUAGGGUCGUAAAGCUCUGUUGAAUGGGAAGAAAAAAAUGACGGUACCAUUCGAGGAAGGACCGGCUAACUUCGUGCCAGCAGCCGCGGUAAUACGAGGGGUCCUAGCGUUGUUCGGAAUCAUUGGGCGUAAAGGGUGUGUAGGUGGCCAUGUAAGUCAGGUGUGAAAGCCCCGGGCUCAACCCGGGAAGUGCACUUGAUACUGCGUGGCUUGAGUACCGAAGAGGGUAGUGGAAUUCCAGGUGUAGUGGUGAAAUACGUAGAUAUCUGGAGGAACACUGGUGGCGAAGGCGGCUACCUGGUCGAGUACUGACACUGAGACACGAAAGCAUGGGGAUCAAACAGGAUUAGAUACCCCGGUAGUCC